GUCGGGCCAUGACCUGGACAUCGGUGAGGUCCUGCAGUUUGUAUCCCAGAGAGAUGGAGUCGUCCUCGGCCUCUGAAGCCCCGAGGUCGCCGUCCAUGGACGACUGCGGGCUGAAGGCUGAACGUCGGAGGCUGCGACCUUUGAAUUAGAAAACUCAUCUCCCCAGAGUCCAAAACCUCGGUCUCUGUGGCUUAAAGGUGAAGCUAAGCCUCUGAGAUGUGAGGAAGACGAGAGGAUGAGAUUAUUCUGACAGCGCCUCUGAACUCCCAACUCUGAGAUUUCUGCUCUGCAGGCAACACGGAGCGAGCUGAAUUAUAGAUUAUAAAACCUCUGCUGACAUCAGGGCUGAAGAAUGACAGCUUGGUGCAGGCCUGAUAACAAGUGGCCUCUCCUCCUCCUCCUCCUCCUCCUCCUCACCCCUCAGGUGUGCUGCUUUGUCUCCUUCCUCAGGAUGCUUUAAAACCCAGAACCUGACAUGUGGCCUCUGUGUGCAACAUGCAUGAUUCAAAGCUGAGCAACACAUGGUUGAAAACGAACAGAAACACUUGAUAGUUACCAGGUUUCAUCAGACUGAUCCGAGCAGGACAGAGAGUCCAGGUCCAAAAGUUCCAGCUCAUCCAGAACCGAUGGCUCGGAUUCAUCCUCAUCCUCCUCCUCUUCCUCCUCCGCAGCAGCUGCUCCAUCCCCGCCUGUGUGCGGGUGGAAAUACUGGAAAGGCUCCUCAGAAGAUGCAAAAGACCCCAAAGACGCCUGACAGAGGAGUGUGGGCAGAGGGCUGGGCCGGCAGUACCCCUUCAGAGCCGGGGAGGGAGGCACCACAUGCGGCCCGCUGCUCGCCCGGGUCCGCAGCUGCUCGUUCUGCCGCUCCAGCUUCCGCACCAGCUCCUGCAGCUUCUUCACCUCCAGCUCGGCGUUCAGGGUGUUGCUGUUACAGUCCACCUCCUGCAUCAUCGAGGCUUUGAGCACGGCUGCCUCCAUCUGAAGAAAGCACAGUGCAGGAAUCAGGCUAGUGCUGCAGCUACAACACCUCCAACGUGGAAGAGAAAUGGAGGACAGGUAGCUCCAGGCUCACCCGACGCCCUCUCUCUGUGUUCUGUAUGCUGGGAGCUGUAGUAGUACUCUGUCUGAUCCGCCUGUCUGGACUGAUGGGAGACUGAGUGACUCCACCCCUUUUGCACACACACACACACGCACACACACCCACACACACACCCCUGCAUCCUCCUCCUCAUUAUUAACACUACAGCUUGAUUGCAGGUAAAUAAGCACCUGCAGGACAAACUGUGCAUAAAUCCAAAUUCAAAUCUUUUGUUUUAAUACCUCAAUAAAAAUGAGGAUUAAGGCAAGGCAGCUUUAUUUGUAUAGAGCAUUUCAGACACAAGGGCAACUCAAUGUGCUUUACAUUUAAACAUUAAAAGCAUU